CAGUCGCCGCGGUAACACAGAGGGUGCGAGCGUUAAUCGGAUUUACUGGGCGUAAAGCGUGCGUAGGCGGCUUCUUAAGUCGGAUGUGAAAUCCCUGAGCUUAACUUAGGAAUUGCAUUCGAUACUGGGAAGCUAGAGUAUGGGAGAGGAUGGUAGAAUUCCAGGUGUAGCGGUGAAAUGCGUAGAGAUCUGGAGGAAUACCGAUGGCGAAGGCAGCCAUCUGGCCUAAUACUGACGCUGAGGUACGAAAGCAUGGGGAGCAAACAGGAUUAGAUACCCGAGUAGUCCCUGUCUCUUAUAA
rnacentral:rRNA from 1 species